rnacentral:tRNA from 1 species
GAGGGUACAGCUCAGUGGUCGAGUGUGUGCUUAGCAUGCAUGAGGUCCUGGGUUCAAUCCUCAGUACCUCUA